CUUAUCAAGAGAGGCAGAGGGAACAGGACCGAAGAUGCCCGGCAACCUGUCGAUAUGACAAGGUGCUACUUCCUGCACGGCUUUGGGCUUUUGUUGAGCGCAAAACCGUGAAAGAUGAGA
rnacentral:ncRNA from 1 species